ACUUUGCCCGGGUGUGAGGAGAAGGUUGCUUUUAGUCAGUACUGUGGUUUCCAUCGCCAAAGCCUGCCUUCCUCCAGAGAGCUUGUUGGAGCAGUGACCCUCUGUUCCCCGCCAGAUGUCUGGACGCUGCCGGAGAUGAGCUCUCUCUUUGUGCGGAGCGUGGAAAUCGAGAUAGGCAACAAAACCCGGAAUGUGACCCUGCAUACCCCCAGAUAAUGCUGCAAUAAACAGCUCCCCGGCAGGAGCUACUGCUACAGUGGCUACAGCUGUAUACCACCCAGUCCCAGGAUCCCCCCUGGUGUCACGGAGAGGUGCCAAUUUGCCAAUGUAAUGCUCAGCUUCUGGGGUAGCGUGGGGGUCCCGGUAUACGAGGCAGACACCUUCACUCUGGCCAUCCUCUUCUCCAACCCCUUUGCCUACAACGUUUUCUAUGUGGAGGUUGCCCUGGAGAUCUCCAUGGAAAACGCCCACCACGGCAGCUUGGAGGAGGUCUACAAGAGGAUGUACAACAGCCUGUCUACCGGCAAUGUUAAUAACACCACCUUCCAGCAAGCCAAGGUCCGUCAAUGCCAGGAGACCCUCACGGUCUAUGCCAACCAUGUGCAGGUCACGGCCACCAUGUCCAAUGCUGCUAAGUCAGUCAUCAAAGUAAUUGUGGAAGAUAAAGAUGGUCCUCCCGCAUAUUCAGAGGAAGCACCACCUGGUAGCCAUAGGCAGUAUCUUGGCCAAAGAAGUGGAAGAACCUGCUAAAAGGCAAGACAGGCAGGUGGUAUGUGCUCUCUGUUUUGCUUCUUGCUUUAGAUGCCAGGCAGCAUGUGCUUCCCUCAAUAAAGGCUAGAGCCAAGUGAUUGAGCAUCCAAA